GUUUUUUUCUUCUCCUUAGUGCGAGAUU
rnacentral:sRNA from 1 species